GCAUAUCAAUAAGCGGAGGAAAAGAAAAUAACAAUGAUUCCCUCAGUAAAGGCGAGCGAAGAGGGAUAAGCUCAAAUUUUAAAUCUGUUGGGUUCCACUCGACAGAGUUGUAUUUUGAAGAAACGUUUUCUGCAUCCAGGAUUAGCCUAAAUCCUUUGGGAUAAGGUAUCAUGGAGGGUGAGAAUCCCGUUCAUGGUUAAUCUUAAGGAAGCUCUACGAUACGUUUUCCAAGAGUCGAGUUGUUUGGGAUUGCAGCUCAAAAUGGGAGGUAAAUUUCUCCUAAGGCUAAAUAUUGGCGAGAGACCGAUAGCGAACAAGUACCGUGAGGGAAAGAUGAAAAGAACUUUGAAAAGAGAGUUAAACAGUACGUGAAAUUGUUGAAAGGGAAACGAUUGAUGUCAGUCAUACCAACGGGAAAUCAACCUUUUGAGCUCGGUCUCGUGGGUUUUGAAGAGUUUCAAAGCCUUCGGAUUCGCGGGAUUGGGAUCUCUUGGCGUACUUUUUCGUACGGUUAGUCAAUAUCGGUUUUGAAUGUCAUAAAAUGACUGGAGGAAUGUAGCUUCGAUCUCGUAUUGAAGUGUUAUAGCCUUUGGUAGAUGUGAUGUUUGAGACCGAGGAUUGCAACGGACACCCUUCAGGGCUAUUCGUCUGAUCUCUGAUACGUUGCCUUGAUGUUGAAAGCUUGCUUAUGAUGUUAGGGUAUUACGGUCAAAAGGUUAGAACGAAUUACAUUCGUUAAGGAUGUUGACGUAAUGGCUUUAAACGAC
rnacentral:rRNA from 1 species